rnacentral:lncRNA from 1 species
UUUUAGUUCCUGGCUCAGCAUGGUGCAGGCAGCUGGUUGUCUCCUGUGUUAGGGCUGAGGCCAUGAGCCACCUCUACUGAGGGUCCUGCAGGGCAUCAUGGUCCUCUGGCCUUGGCUGAGAUUCUUCUAGAACUAUUUAUGGGUAGCUGUCCAAUCUCUGAAAUGUGACUUGGAAAAUUUCAGAGCCUAUCAGAUUUCCUGACCAUAUCAGCUUUAGUCACAUCCAUCCCAAGGUCACCACCAGUGAGUUGCUGUUGCGUAGACAGUAAGGUGAGAAGAGCAAGAGAGCACAGUGCUGUUGAGAUGAGGAGGGGCGUCUGCCAUGACCAGUAGACACCAGCCUGCUUCCAGAGGAGGAAAUGGCUUCCGGGGAGAAGAUGAGCUUCAGGGUCUGCACAGGGAAGACCUGGCAACAGGAAACGGCUCAGCGAUGCCCUGGGCAGCACAGCUUCUGGGCAGGCUCCGUCACCUCGGCCCACUGUGGCCUCCCUCCAGUGAGUGAUGGUGUGGAAGUUGGCUSAGCUCCACCUCGAACCUCGAACCUUCCUUCCCACCACGUCUGCGGGGGCAGUGGUCCCUGUUUUUACUAGGUGUUGGGCUGCCAGUGUGUCCCCGCACCUAGAAGAGAGCAAGGGACAGCGGAUCUGCUUCYUCAGCCCCCUGGUGGCCUUGAGCAUGUGUGGUUUGAAAGUAAAUGGCUUUGUCCCGGAGGAGGGCCAUGCAGAGACCCGGAGGGCUG